AUUGAACGCUGGCGGCGUGCUUAACACAUGCAAGUCGGUCGGUAACAGGUGUAGCAAUACAUGCUGACGAGAGGCGGACGGGUGAGUAAUGCUUGGGAAUCUGCCGUAUUAGUGGGGGACAACCCGGGGAAACUCGGGCUAAUACCGCAUACGCUCUACGGAGGAAAGCCGGGGACCGCAAGGCCUGGCGCUAAUAGAUGAGCCCAA
rnacentral:rRNA from 1 species